AGAGUUUGAUCCUGGCUCAGGAUGAACGCCGGCGGUGUGCCUAAUACAUGCAAGUCGAACGCGUUGGCCCAACUGAUUGAACGUGCUUGCACGGACUUGACGUUGGUUUACCAGCGAGUGGCGGACGGGUGAGUAACACGUAGGUAACCUGCCCCAAAGCGGGGGAUAACAUUUGGAAACAGAUGCUAAUACCGCAUAACAGUUUGAAUCGCAUGAUUCAAAUUUAAAAGAUGGUUUCGGCUACCACUUUGGGAUGGACCUGCGGCGCAUUAGCUUGUUGGUAGGGUAACGGCCUACCAAGGCUGUGAUGCGUAGCCGAGUUGAGAGACUGAUCGGCCACAAUGGAACUGAGACACGGUCCAUACUCCUACGGGAGGCAGCAGUAGGGAAUCUUCCACAAUGGGCGCAAGCCUGAUGGAGCAACACCGCGUGAGUGAAGAAGGGUUUCGGCUCGUAAAGCUCUGUUGUUAGAGAAGAACGUGCGUGAGAGCAACUGUUCACGCAGUGACGGUAUCUAACCAGAAAGUCACGACUAACUACGUGCCAGCAGCCGCGGUAAUACGUAGGUGGCAAGCGUUAUCCGGAUUUAUUGGGCGUAAAGCGAGCGCAGGCGGUUUGAUAAGUCUGAUGUGAAAGCCUUUGGCUUAACCAAAGAAGUGCAUCGGAAACUGUCAGACUUGAGUGCAGAAGAGGAUAGUGGAACUCCAUGUGUAGCGGUGGAAUGCGUAGAUAUAUGGAAGAACACCAGUGGCGAAGGCGGCUAUCUGGUCUGCAACUGACGCUGAGGCUCGAAAGCAUGGGUAGCGAACAGGAUUAGAUACCCUGGUAGUCCAUGCCGUAAACGAUGAGUGCUAGGUGUUGGAGGGUUUCCGCCCUUCAGUGCCGCAGCU
rnacentral:rRNA from 1 species